GCCCGGUUAGCUCAGUCGGUAGAGCAUUCGGCUUUUAACCGAAAUGUCGGGGGUUCGAGCUCCCCAUUGGGCG
rnacentral:tRNA from 1 species